AACGAACGCUGGCGGCGUGCCUAACACAUGCAAGUCGAGCGCGAAAAGAGCAAUCUGAGUAGAGCGGCGCACGGGUGCGUAACACGUGGGUAAUCUGCCUCGAGGUCUGGGAUAACCAUUCGAAAGUUUGGCUAAUACCAGUUAAGCUCACGGUGACUUCGGUCGCUGAGAGAAAAGGGGCCCGAAAGGGUCUCGCCACGAGAUGUGCCCGCGGCCCAUCAGCUAGUUGGUGAGGUAACGGCCCACCAAGGCUACGACGGGUAGCUGGUCUGAGAGGACGAUCAGCCACACUGGAACUGAGACACGGUCCAGACUCCUACGGGAGGCAGCAGUGGGGAAUUUUGCACAAUGGGCGAAAGCCUGAUGCAGCAACGCCGCGUGUGUGAUGAAGGUCUUCGGAUCGUAAAGCACUUUCGACCGGGACGAACAAGCCUGGCCACACCAGGCCCUGACGGUACCGGGAGAAGAAGCACCGGCUAACUCUGUGCCAGCCGCCGCAGUAACAC
rnacentral:rRNA from 1 species